ACACUCCUACGGGAGGCAGCAGUGAGGAAUAUUGGACAAUGGGUGGAAGCCUGAUCCAGCCAUCCCGCGUGCAGGAAGACGGCCCUAUGGGUUGUAAACUGCUUUUAUCUGGGGAUAAACCUACUUACGUGUAAGUAGCUGAAGGUACCAGAAGAAUAAGCACCGGCUAACUCCGUGCCAGCAGCCGCGGUAAUACGGAGGGUGCACGCGUUAUCCGGAUUUAUUGGGUUUAAAGGGUCCGUAGGCGGACUGAUAAGUCAGUGGUGAAAUCCGACAGCUUAACUGUCGAACUGCCAUUGAUACUGUUAGUCUUGAGUAAGGUUGAAGUGGCUGGUAUAAGUAGUGUAGCGGUGAAAUGCAUAGAUAUUACUUAGAACACCAAUUGCGAAGGCAGGUCACUAAGUCUUAACUGACGCUGAUGGACGAAAGCGUGGGGAGCGAACAGGAUUAGAACCCCGUGUAGUCCCAU
rnacentral:rRNA from 1 species